UCCAAUGUAGUGUAACGGCUAUCACAGUCCGCUCUCACCGGGCAGAUCGGGGUUCGACUCCCCGCAUCGGAG
rnacentral:tRNA from 1 species